AUGAGACCCCGCAGCUGCGCCCUCUCAGAUCUCCCCAAGAGCAGCUGGUUUGGCGAAGGUUCCUUCUCCCAGCUUGUGCUGACUCAGACUCCCUCCAUGUCUGUGUCCCUGGGAGCCACGGCCAGACUCACCUGCACCCUCAGCAGUCAGCACAGCAACUACUAUAUUUAUUGGUACCAGCAGAGCCCAGGAAAGGCCCCUCGGUACCUCAUGUAUGUUGGUACUGGUGGAGCUGGAGGCAAGGGCGAGGGGGUCACCGACCGCUUCUUGGGCUCCAGCUCUGGGGUCGAUCGCUACUUGUCCAUCACCAGCCUCCAGCCUGAGGACGAGGCCCAUUACUACUGCAAGGCACCUUAUAGUAGUGGUAAUAACUAUGGUUAA